rnacentral:lncRNA from 1 species
AAUCUAGGCCAUGCUAAACUUAUUUCUAAUAGUAGAAAUGCUUAUAGAAUGAAAUAAUUACAUCUCAAACUAAUACAUUAUACAGAGUUAUUAACAGAUGACUUACUAUAAUUAAAGUCCGCGAAAGUCGGAUGUCCAUGUGAUUAAGCUAUUUCUUAUCAGCAAGAGAAUAUGAGUUCAAUUAUAAAUACGACCGCAACAGAUUUUUCAGAUGGAUUAUAAAACUUGCAUGAAGAUGACUCUACUUUUGAAUUUUUAAACGUUGUUUACACAGGUUUGCACAUCGUUAAAACCAUUAUCACUCUUAAUACUGUCGUUUUCAUAUAUAUCAUUUGGCCAACAAAACCAAAACAAAAUGGUUUGGGCACAAAACCAAAUACUUUGGAUUUUUAAAUUAUUUCUUCUGAAAUAGUUUCAAAUCGUUAGGACUUUUGCAGAAUAAUUUUGAGAAUUUUUUCAGGAAAAUGUAAUACAAAUUAUUUGCAGACAUUUUCUUUUUAAUCAUUCAUUCCUUUAUCAGGCUAAGAUCCGAACCCAUAAAGGCCAGAUAACGAGAGCCUACUGUAUAAAUAUUACUCAAAAAUAUUUAUCGAAAAUAAUGACAUUCACCAUAUAUUCAGCAUGAUGACUUAUUCCUUUAUUUCUUUUCAAAAUAGACCAAAAGUGAGAAGAUCAUAAUUCCUUGUCCAUAGAAAUUGAAAACUAAAAAUUUCAUUGUUAAUUAAAAUUUAAAAAAACCAUAACAUGUUAUUAAACAUUAUUUCAAAACUCUUUCACAAACUAAACGAAUAUACACAAAUAUAUGUCAUUUUAUUUUAAUUCCGUUACUUAUUUUGUUUUUUAUUUUCUUCAAUUAUUUCUAAAAGUUAAAAAUUACUGAAUGUUUGCUUAUAUUCAAGAUAUUCAGAUAAAAGAUUAACCUACGGUAAAACUUUUUCUAUGUUAAGAACAGAGAAACAUCAAACAAUAAGCAGCGUCGUACCACUAUUGCCAUUACCCCACUUAAUAUUAUCGUUUUCAUAUAUAUCGUUUGGUCCACAAAACCAAAAAAAACGGUUUUGUGGCCAAACCAUUUUGUUUUGGUUUGGCCACAACACCAAAUACUUUGGAUUUUUAAUUAUAUUUUUUGGAAUAGUUGUACUGGGAGGUGUUGGUGAAUGUCACAUUCUCAACUCAGAAAUAAAUCGGAAAUCUUCGGUAUUCUUCAAAAUUUAAAUUAGCGGAAAUUGGAUAGUGUAAUGUGUAU